GGGGCAGGGAGAGACAUCGCAGCCCUUUACGGCGAGCUCAGCACUUUGCAGCCCUCCCCUCCUUCAUUCUCACCUCGGCCCUGCGAAGACACAGGCUCACUUCCUCACUGACAACGAGGACCCUGAGGUCAGAGGGCCUGUGACUGCCUGAGGUCUGCCAGCAGGGCAGUGGCAGAGCUGAGAUGUGCACGCAGGUUUCUUGGCAUCAAAUCCAGUUCUUUUCCCACUUGCUGUAUCCCUCAAAAGUGUGUGUUGAAAUCAUAGCUCUGAAUACCCCAGAAAGCAAUUCUAUUGAGAAGGGGGUUUGCUGCGGAUAUAAUGAGUUAAGAUCAAGUCAACCUGGAGUAGGAUGGGUCCAAAAUCCAAUGACUGGUCCAAAAAUCCUUAUUUUAUAACAGGAUGCCAUAUGGGAAGAGCAGACACAUACUAAGACACGAGGAAGAGAUGGCCAUCUACACUGAGGGACAUCUGAGGCCACCUGAGGCUGAAGAGAGCCCCAGAGCGACUCUCCGCACAAUUCCUCAGAAGGAAACAGGGCUAAUUCCAGACCCUCGGACUCCAGAGCUGGGACAAAAUACUUUUCCAGUGUUUAAUUCCUCUAGUGCAGGAUACCUUCUUACAGUGGCCCCAGCAGAGCAUCAUACACCACUCAUCAUCAGCGUAAAUUUCUCUUCCCUUGGAUGGACUAUCGAAGAAAGUAACUGUGCAAAAACCCAGCAAGCCCGUUUCAGCGCAGAUGCUAAUUGGCCUGAGGACGUUGGACAAGACAGCUCCUCUGAGCCUCGAGUUCUUGAUGAGGGUUAAGCAGAUGACCCAGCGCUGGUGCUCUGUAAAUGAAGCAUACUUGCUUCUGGUCUCACAGUUUCCAUGGAAUCCGAAGACUGAAAUACCCUGAGCUUCCUGUGAUGUCCCCUUAAGGCUCUAUGAUGAGGACCUUCAGUGGCCCCUUCUCAGGUUGAGGAGGUGAAGAAUGUUUUCCAAGAGAAACUUUUACCUCUUGCUGUCAAGCACAGAAGUCCUGCUAAGCUGUUUCUUUCUUUCUUUCUUUCUUUCUUUCUUUCUUUUUUCACUGUGAAAAUAAUUUUGUGAGAAAAUAUAAACCAGUUCAAUCACACUGAACUUUCAUAAGAUGAAAUGUUAAUAAAAUGGAUGUUUGACCAAUAAAAUACUUGAUUCCAAAUUAAAUGGCCCUGAAGGGAAUUCUGUUUUGGAGCAAACUCCAUGGGAAACAGGAUGAAAAAGAAAAUAAUAUUUUUGAGCCACUAUAUGAAU
rnacentral:lncRNA from 1 species